GUAGGGAAUAUUGGGCAAUGGAGGCAACUCUGACCCAGCCAUGCCGCGUGCAGGAUGACGGCCCUCUGGGUUGUAAACUGCUUUUAUACGGGAAGAAAAAAUACUACGUGUAGUAUACUGACGGUACCGUAAGAAUAAGGAUCGGCUAACUCCGUGCCAGCAGCCGAGGUAAUACGGAGGAUCCAAGCGUUGUCCGGAUUUAUUGGGUUUAAAGGGUGCGUAGGCGGAUCUUUAAGUCAGUGGUGAAAGCCUGCAGCUUAACUGUAGAAUUGCCAUUGAAACUGAAGAUCUUGAAUGUGGUUAAAGUAGGCGGAAUGUAUCAUGUAGCGGUGAAAUGCUUAGAUAUGAUACAGAACACCGAUAGCGAAGGCAGCUUGCUGAACCAUUAUUGACGCUGAGGCACGAAAGCGUGGGGAGCGAACAGGAUUAGAUACCCCAGUAGUCC
rnacentral:rRNA from 1 species